GGACUAGAUAUUAAGAAAGGAAGACUAGAUACUACUAUCAGAAGAUGUUAUGGUCACUCUAAUUUGAACUGCAUCAUAUUCCUUGGCAUUUCUAAAAUAGGAAUAAAUUUCGAGUUGAGCAGAAUUUAUGGUCACUCUAGUUUGAACUGUAACAUGUUCCUCAUGACCUCUAAAAUAGCAACAUUCAGAAACCAGAAAUAAGUUCGAAGUGUUCAAAAUAUAGAAUAACUUGGUGCGGAAUAACAACUAAAACUAGAAUUAGCUUAACAUAAUCACUAGAACUAAC
rnacentral:lncRNA from 1 species